GAUGAACGCUGGCGGCGUGCCUAAUACAUGCAAGUCGAGCGAACAGAUAAGGAGCUUGCUCCUUUGACGUUAGCGGCGGACGGGUGAGUAACACGUGGGUAACCUACCUAUAAGACUGGAAUAACUCCGGGAAACCGGGGCUAAUGCCGGAUAACAUUUAGAACCGCAUGGUUCUAAAGUGAAAGAUGGUUUUGCUAUCACUUAUAGAUGGACCCACGCCGUAUUAGCUAGUUGGUAAGGUAACGGCUUACCAAGGCAACGAUACGUAGCCGACCGGAGAGGGGGAUCGGCCACACUGGAACUGAGACACGGUCCAGACUCCUACGGGAGGCAGCAGUAGGGAAUAUUCCGCAAGGGGCGAAAGCCUGACGGAGCAACGCCGCGUGAGAGAUGAAGGUCUUCGGAUCGUAAAACUCUGUUAUUAGGGAAGAAAAAAUGUGUAAGUAACUGUGCACGUCUUGACGGUACCUAAUCAGAAAGCCACGGCUAACUACGUG
rnacentral:rRNA from 1 species